AGCAGCGUGGCUCAGUGGCAAGAGCCCGGGCUUGGGAGUCAGAGGUCAUGGGUUCGACUCCCGGCUCUGCCA
rnacentral:tRNA from 1 species